AUUGAACGCUGGCGGCAUGCAUUACACAUGCAAGUCGAACGGUAACAGGCCGCAAGGUGCUGACGAGUGGCGAACGGGUGAGUAAUGCAUCGGAACGUGCCCAGUCGUGGGGGAUAACGCGGCGAAAGCUGCGCUAAUACCGCAUACGAUCUAUGGAUGAAAGCGGGGGACCGCAAGGCCUCGCGCGAUUGGAGCGGCCGAUGUCAGAGUAGGUAGUUGGUGGGGUAAAGGCUCACCAAGCCAACGAUCUGCAGCUGGUCGGAGAGGAAGACCAGCCACAGGGGGACUGGGAGACGGCACAGACUACUACGUGAGGCAGCAGUGGGGAAUUUUGGACAAUGGGGGCAAGACUGAUCCAGCAAUGCCGCGUGCAGGAAGAAGGCCUUCGGGUUGUAAACUGCUUUUGUACGGAACGAAACGGUCCUGGUUAAUACCAGGGGCUAAUGACGGUACCGUAAGAAUAAGCACCGGCUAACUACGUGCCAGCCGCCGCCGUAAAAC
rnacentral:rRNA from 1 species